UAACCUUUUCUUCUAGCUUUUGUUAUUUGUAGAGAUGGCUUCAAGUUACCAUGGGGAGCCACAAGAAGAGGAAGACACAUUUGAAUAUCACAUUCAAGAUGACUUUGAUGCAAGUAUACUCACACCAGCACAACUUGUGAUGUUAUAUGAGCUUCAGAAGGAGUACCCAGGUUCGGCAAAGACAUCCCUAGCACGAAGGAUCCGGUUGGAGCUUAUUAAGGAUCGAGCAGAGCUUGAAGGAAGGGAGGUUACAAAGUAUGAGUUUAAUGUUGCCUAUGACCUUAAAGAGGUAAUGGAUUGGGCUCCACCACUCCAGCUGGAAGAGAUGGCUUCAAGUUACCAUGGGGAGCCACAAGAAGAGGAAGACACAUUUGAAUAUCACAUUCAAGAUGACUUUGAUGCAAGUAUACUCACACCAAGCACAACUUGUGAUGUUAUAUGAGCUUCAGAAGGAGUACCCAGGUUCGGCAAAGACAUCCCUAGCACGAAGGAUCCGGUUGGAGCUUAUUAAGGAUCGAGCAGAGCUUGAAGGAAGGGAGGUUACAAAGUAUGAGUUUAAUGUUGCCUAUGACCUUAAAGAGGUAAUGGAUUGGGCUCCACCACUCCAGCUGGAAGAUCUCUAGUUCUCUGUGGUUCGACAAUCUUUUAUACUAUCAUUUGACUUGGGAGCCUUGAAAACUUCCAAUAUCA